GGUCCAGUGGUCUAGUGGUUAUGAUUUCUGUCUCACAUCUCGUGUUCACAGAAGGUCCCCGGUUCGACCCCGGGCUGAACCA